CCGGGGUCCGCUUUGGCCAGAGGCGCAGAAGGAAGCAGUGCCCGGCGACGCUGCACCCAUCCCGGCUGCUUUUGCUGCGCCCUCUCAGCUUCCCAAGAAAGGAUGACACUUCUGUGGUGUGUAGUGAGUCUCUACUUUUAUGGAAUCCUGCAAAGUGAUGCCUCAGGUAAGUGAAUGGCUUUUGACAAUGUAUUAAAAUGCAAGUCAUGUGUAGGGUAAUGAGUCCACUCUUCCUGAGAAUGAAUUUAAAUAAACAUAAUGUUAUUCAUGUCCAUUGUCUUCUGCGGUAGCAAAUAAUCAUAAAGCAGAAUAAUAGAAUUUUGAUGAUGGAAAGAACCAUUGCUGUCUCUAGUCUUCAUGGGAUAGAGUACACAGGGGGCAGUGGGCCACUGUGUUUAAACACAGGCAUUUUUCAUUACCUUCACACUCAGCCAACUAGCAUAUUGCUUUUUUCCCUUACCUCAGGUCCUAUGGGGGAAAA
rnacentral:sRNA from 1 species